UCGGCUCCGCUUGAGGCCCAGUGAGUGACCCCCGCCCGCCCCGGGACCCGAGUUGGGACAAGGGGUGGAGCGCGAGCGCUUUGGCCUAGUUCCUUCGGCCCACAGCCUGGAACUCGGCACCCUUCACAAGCCCGAAGGCCUACCAGACCCGGCCUGCAGUCUACACCGUCCCAGCUAGGAACUAAUAUGGCCGCUGGAGCCGGGUCCAGGGCCGGAGGCGCGAGGGUAGUAGAAGCCAAAUCACUGUUUGUUAUUUGACUUAUUGGCUACAGGCAGCAUGACACAUCCUUGGAUUGAGGUAGAACAAAAAUUUGUCCCAAGACCAGGAAUUGAGGAUCGGUUGAAGGAACUGGGUGGUACUCAGGAGAGUCAGAUUUCUUUCCGUGACAGCUACUAUGACACUCGGGAGCUUACUCUUAUGAAGGCUGAUCACUGGCUCCGGCAUCGUGAAGGAAGUGGAUGGGAGCUCAAGUGCCCUGGAGCAGGAGGUAACACUGGCUCCCACACUAAGUACAUGGAGCUCACAGCAGAGGCUGCCAUAGCAGCCCGGUUGUGUGAGAGGUUGGGGACUGCAGGGUUGGGCACAGAGAAUGUUUCAGAGAUGCUCGGGCGACUGGAGCUGCAGGAAGUAGCCAGUUUUGUAACAGAGCGGAGUGUCUGGAAGCUGGUACUCUCUGGAGCUGGUGAUGAAGGGGAGGCACUUACUGUAGACCUGGAUACAGCGGACUUUGGCUAUGCAGUAGGGGAAGUGGAGGCCCUAGUUCGAGAAGAGGCUGAGGUACCAAAAGCCCUGGAGAAGAUCCGCAGUCUCAGCUCCUUGCUUGGUGUUUCACAGCAUGAGCAAACACCUGGCAAGCUGAUUGUAUACCUGCAGCGCUUUAGGCCUCUGGACUACCAGCGCCUAUUAGAAGUGGCCACAGGGAAGAAUGAUGAACAAGAGGAGUCUGCAGCCAUAGAGAAUUAAACAGGGUUCCUGGCUCUCACCUUGUUGGGAUUGAGGACUCUGAGGACCUGUGUGAUGGGAGGACCUCCCUGAGCUGGAACUGUGUCCCCACUGGGUAUCUGCAGCUGCAGCUGGAAACUCUGGCCAUGGGGUGGGGGGAAAGCAAGCCAGCAGGAUGCCUGAUGCACAAUCUGCCCGAAGAUCCACAGGGCAGGAUUCCAGGAAACCUUGCAGCUCCUGGGUCAUGGACCGAAUGUUAGAACUAUUCACCAGAGCCAAGCUCAGUUCUAGUGCCCGCCUAGCAGAAUAAACAGAAUUAAACAACCAAA